rnacentral:rRNA from 1 species
UACGUAGGGGCAAGCGUUGUCCGGAUUUAUUGGGCGUAAAGGGCGCGUAGGCGGCCAUUCAAGUGACGGGUGAAAGCCCUCGGCUUAACCGAGGAACUGCCUGUCAGACUGGAUGGCUUGAGACCGGGAGAGGUGAGUGGAAUUCCCAGUGUAGCGGUGAAAUGCGUAGAUAUUGGGAGGAACACCAGUGGCGAAGGCGGCUCACUGGACCGGAACUGACGCUGAGGCGCGAAAAGCGUGGGGAGCAAACAGG